GACGAACGCUGGCGGCGUGCUUAACACAUGCAAGUCGAACGGAAAGGCCCUGCUUUUGUGGGGUGCUCGAGUGGCGAACGGGUGAGUAACACGUGAGUAACCUGCCCUUGACUUUGGGAUAACUUCAGGAAACUGGGGCUAAUACCGGAUAGGAUCUCCUGCUGCAUGUUGGGGGUUGGAAAGUUUCGGCGGUGGGGGAUGGACUCGCGGCUUAUCAGCUUGUUGGUGGGGUAGUGGCUUACCAAGGCUUUGACGGGUAGCCGGCCUGAGAGGGUGACCGGGCACAUUGGGACUGCGAUACGGCCCAGACUCCUACGGCAGGCAGUAGUGGGGAACAUUGCACAACGGGCGGAAGCCUGAUGCAGCAACGCCGCGUGCGGGAUGACGGCUUUCGGGUUGUAAACCGCUUUCGCCUGUGACGAAGCGUGAGUGACGGUAAUGGGUAAAGAAGCACCGGCUAACUACGUG
rnacentral:rRNA from 1 species